rnacentral:misc_RNA from 1 species
UAUUCAUUGGAUUUCAAAGUGAAAAAUCAAACACUAUAUUAAAUUAUAUCAUUAAUCUCAAACUCUGAUCCAUCGAAAACUGAGCCUAGGGGAAAGAUUGAAUUGAACUGAUUCGAUAUUUGAUCAAAGUUCUCAAUAUUGUAAAGCAAUUCUGUCUCUUUUUCAAGGAACCCACAAGCUACGAUUUCUUUAACUUAUGUCAAACUCCGAUAUUAUUUGAUAACAAAUGGACACAACAUAUGUAGACACACCAAGUAAAUGGUGGAACAUAUAUUAAGCAACAAAAAUGCAACGUGGGCUAAUUUUGACUCGGCAAAAAGGCGAUGGUCAUCGUCUGUUAGCCCCUUAUUUUUCUUUAGUUGGAAAUGAGUGAGAUAUUCCGGGGCUACAUGCAGCUCCCACUGUCAUAAAGCAUCUUUAGAAUUUUUAUAAUUAUAAUUAUACCCUGUAUUGUUCAAUCUUGUUCUGCAAUUCUAACUUCUUAACCCCUACAAUCUUGUCAACUUGUUUCCCUUUCUUCAUGAGUACAAAUGCUGGCAAUGUGUUCGCCUCGAAUUGCAUAGCCACCAUCUGUAUUCAUUCACACAAAUUUCAUCAUUUUCAUAAUUUGAGAUCGAGAGGAAGGGAGAAGAGAAGAAACAGAAAUCUUGAAAUAGCUGCAAAAGAGGAAAGAAAGAGUAUUUACCACCAACUUGUCCACAUUAAUCUUGAUAAAAUCAACGUCUGUGUAUUUAGCAGCAAACUCUUUAAUGGCUGGAUCGAUAAAUCGGCAAGGUCCGCACCAUGUUGCUGUGAAUUGAAUCACCAGCAGUUUGUUGUUUCCUUUGGAGGCAUCAAAAUAGGCUUUCCAUUGAUCUGUAGAAUGGAUUUCCACAACUGCAGCUGAUGUCUUUGUGUCUGAAAAUUCAAUGUAGUGAUUAAAACUAAACCGGCUCGACAUCGUUCUUCCUCUUCGAAGAACUGGGAAACCGAACUCCAUAGAUGAUGUGUAUAUAUAUGCAGUUUUAAGCUUGUUUCUGAAGUUCAAGAGAAAAUGCAGUUGCU